rnacentral:misc_RNA from 1 species
AAGUUGUAACAAGGUUUCCGUAGGUGAACCUGCGGAAGGAUCAUUACAAAAUAAAGCUGGUAGGAAGUGGGGGUCUUGAUCUGUAAGUGGUAGAAGCGAACAGUCCGGCUGCCUCCCGAAAUGUCUUACACUGGUCCCCCCACAGCCUGAAGGCCGAAUUACAAACCCUUGAUUAUCUACACUUGUUGCUUUGAGGAUGCUCAAGUAGCCCCAGAAGGACCCAACUCUCUUGCAUUUAGUGACGUCUGAGUACUAUAUAAAUAUUUAAAA